rnacentral:rRNA from 1 species
AGUGAACGCUGGCGGUAGGCCUAACACAUGCAAGUCGAACGGCAGCACAGGAGAGCUUGCUCUCUGGGUGGCGAGUGGCGGACGGGUGAGGAAUACAUCGGAAUCUACUUUUUCGUGGGGGAUAACGUAGGGAAACUUACGCUAAUACCGCAUACGACCUACGGGUGAAAGCAGGGGACCUUCGGGCCUUGCGCGAAUGAAUGAGCCGAUGUCGGAUUAGCUAGUUGGGGGGGUAAAGGCCCACCAAGGCGACGACCCGUAGCUGGUCUGAGAGGAUGAUCAGCCACACUGGAACUGAGACACGGUCCAGACUCCUACGGGAGGCAGCAGUGGGGAAUAUUGGACAAUGGGCGCAAGCCUGAUCCAGCCAUACCGCGUGGGUGAAGAAGGCCUUCGGGUUGUAAAGCCCUUUUGUUGGGAAAGAAAUCCAGCUGGCUAAUACCCGGUUGGGAUGACGGUACCCAAAGAAUAAGCACCGGCUAACUUCGUGCCAGCAGCCGCAGUAA